rnacentral:SRP_RNA from 1 species
GAUAUAGUAACACACGCCAAUGAUCCCUGAUACUUGGGGCAUCUGAGAUUGGUGGAUUGACUGAUUUUGGGAACUCUGAGCCUUGGUAGGGUUAAAGCCCAAUUGGGUAUCUGCACUAAAUCCACCACAAAUAUGGUGAGCCCCUUGGAUAGGUGAGCCACCAGGCUGCCUAAAGAGGGGUGAACUUGGCUCAGUUUAGAAGCAGAGCAGGCUAAAAUUUCUGUGCAGAUCAGCAGUGAGAUUUGGCCAUGGGUGACCUCUGCACUUUCAGCCUGAGAGAUAGGGAGACCCAGUCACCA